GUAAAUAAUAAAGGGCGUAUGGUGGAUGCCUAGGCUCUCAGAGGCGAUGAAGGACGUGAUAAGCUGCGAAAAGCUCCGUUUAGGUGCAAAUAACCUUUGAUGCGGAGAUCUCCGAAUGGGAUAACCCAAUAUGUUGAAGACAUAUUAUACCGUAAGGUAGGCAAACGCAGGGAACUGAAACAUCUAAGUACCUGCAGGAGAAGAAAACAAACGUGAUUCCCCCAGUAGCGGCGAGCGACCGGGGAAAAGCCCAAACCGUUAUUGUUUCGGCAUUAACGGGGUAGUAGGACUGCAAGCUUGAUGAAAUAAAUGAAAUGGAACACCUUGGAAAAUGUGAUCACAGAGGGUGAUAAUCCCGUACAUGUAAGUUUAUGAAUCAUAGCAGACUCCUGAGUAAGUCGGGACACGUGUAAUCCUGACCGAAUCCGCCGGGACCAUCCGGCAAGGCUAAAUACUCCUGAGAGACCGAUAGUGAACCAGUACCGUGAGGGAAAGGUGAAAAGCACUUCGAACAGAAGAGUGAAAUAGUCCCUGAACCCAUACGCCUACAAGCUGUCGGAGCCGCUUCGUGCGGUGACGGCGUGCCUUUUGCAUAAUGAGCCUACGAGUUACUCAUCACCAGCGAGGUUAAGUACUUCAGGUACGUAAGCCGAAGCGAAAGCGAGUCUGAAUAGGGCGUCAAGUUGGUGGUGGUAGACGCGAAACCUUAGUGAUCUACCCAUGGGCAGGGUGAAGGUUUGGUAACACAAACUGGAGGCCCGAACCGGUAAACGUUGAAAAGUUUUCGGAUGACCUGUGGGUAGGGGUGAAAGGCCAAUCAAACUGGGAAAUAGCUCGUACUCUCCGAAAUGCAUUUAGGUGCAGCCUCUGUUGUUUUGUUCUAGAGGUAGAGCUACUGAUUGGAUGCGAGGGCUUCACCGCCUAUCAAAUCCGGCCAAACUCCGAAUGCUAGAACAUGAAGACAGGGAGUGAGCCAGCGGGUGCUAAGGUCCGUUGACGAAAGAGGGAGAACUCAGACCAUCAGCUAAGGUCCCCAAUUAUAUGCUAAGUUGGAAUAAAAACGGGGUGGGACUGCUUAGACAGCUAGGAUGUUGGCUUGGAAGCAGCCAUUCAUUUAAAGAGUGCGUAACAGCUCACUAGUCGAGCGGUCCUGCAUGGAUAAUACGCGGGCAUAAGCAUAUAACCGAAGCUAUGGGAUUGUAGAUGAUACAAUCGGUAGGAGAGCAUUCCAUUCAGCAUAGAAGCAGUAUCGUGAGGUAUUGUGGAGCGGAUGGAAAAGCAAAUGUAGGCAUAAGUAACGAUAAUGCGGGUGAGAACCCCGCACGCCGAAAGAUCAAGGAUUCCCCGGCAAUGUCAAUCAUCCGGGGGUAAGUCGGAUCCUAAGGGUAAGCCGAGUGGCGAUCCCGAUGGCAAACAGGUUAAUAUUCCUGUACUGAUCAUAACUGCGAUGCAGCGACGCAGAGGUGACACUGCUGCGUACUGACGGAAUAGUACGUUGAAACCCGUAUUCUUUGAUACCGGUAGUGAAGCACGCCGGUAGAGAUGAAAGGUGAUAGUACCGCAAUGCUUCGGUUGCGCGGAUAAUGCAGGUAAGCUGACUGCCAAGAAAACCUGCUAAGCUUCAGGUAAUGAUCAUCCGUACUGUAAACGGACACACGUGAUCAGGUAGAAAAUACUAAGGCGCUCGAGAGAUUCAUGGUUAAGGAACUAGGCAAAAUGGUCCUGUAACUUCGGGAUAAAGGACGCUCUUGUGAAAGAGCCGCAGAUAAUAGGCCCAGGCGACUGUUUACCAAAAACACAUGGCUAUGCUAAUUCGCAAGAAGAUGUAUAUGGCCUGACACCUGCCCGGUGCCGGAAGGUUAAGAGGAGAGCUCAGAGGUAACUCGAAGGUUUGAAUUGAAGCCCCGGUAAACGGCGGCCGUAACUAUAACGGUCCUAAGGUAGCGAAAUUCCUUGUCGGGUAAGUUCCGACCUGCACGAAUGG
rnacentral:rRNA from 1 species